rnacentral:rRNA from 1 species
UAAGUUAAUAAGGGCGCACGGUGGAUGCCUUGGCACUAGAAGCCGAUGAAGGACGUGACUAACGACGAAAUGCUUUGGGGAGUUGUAAGUAAACAUUGAUCCAGAGAUGUCCGAAUGG